AAACCAGUGAAGAGGCAGUUGUGUAUACUGCUGAGAGAUGGUGUGAUGGUGGUUUGGACCAGGAAUGUACCUCUGAACUUGGUCAGCUGUGUGGGUACCCGGAGCCCCAGGAGCAGAAUGAGUCCAGGAGGACCCAUGCCAAGCCACGUCAGGCUCUGCUUCCUGAUAAGUGGAGAAGGAAGGAUUGGGUCAAACUGAAGCCUGCAAAUACAAUGACUGCUUAUUCUCUGCGAGAGAGCGUUCUAAGAGUUGUAUGCUCUAAGAGUUUCCAAGGAUAAUGUACAACUAUCUGAAUAUUUUUGUUCCCAUGGCCUUCACCCUUUAGAAACGUCUGAUGGUUACAUGCGAUAGGACAGCUGCCCUGAGGACACCUUCCUGCCCUCUGUAUGUCUGAGCCUUCGCCAGUGAACUGUAACAGUGGGACCCAUGUCAUCUGUGGCACUCCAGUGUUUACCUCAAACAAGCUGUCUGUCUUUUUUUCUGUAUAGCUGUUUACAUAUAGCUAUGUUUAUCUAUCAAAGUAGUCUUUUGUAAUCUCUAGAUCUAUGUAAGUAUACUUGAUCUAUGCUUUUAUGAAUCUGAUAGACUUUAAAUCAAGUCUUAACACAUUCUGCAGGUAUUAGCAUUGGUCAAUAACAUGUUUUAGGGUAGUUCUUUGAUGUUCAUGGACCAAACUUUUCAGUAGAUGGGAAUAACAAGCCCUUAAUGAGCUGUGUAAAUCCACAUAGACCAUGUCUCUCCACUCUGGUGGGGUCCUAAAAAUGUGUCCUGUCUUUUGUUCCACAGCAUCUGUCCAUGCUAGCCUACAACACCAGGUGAAAGGGCCUAAGAGGACUGUGGUCAGGACCCAUUUCACUCCUGGAGAGCCCCAGAGGUACCCAAGAGGUGCAUUUACUAUGAUGUUUUUAGAUACGCAGUUUUAUUGUCAGUGGAUAGGCUGAUAUCCACAAGUAAGAAGACUCAACAACAGGUACUUGCAGAGCCCGAUUUAGCUUCCCACGUGGGAGCAGAGGUUAUUGGAGCCUGCAGAGGGAGCCCUUGCAUUAGGAGAUAAUGAACAGACCUGAAAGCUAAUCCCGGAGUUGCCAUUUGUGACUACAGCCAUCAAUUUCAUAAGUCUUACAAGUCCUACCCCUCCCCUGUCAUCUCCACUCCCUCAAAGAAGAAUAACUAUUUAGAAUGUCCUCAGCUUCAUCUUGGCCCACAAAAGGAUUCUAGAUGGGAGAUACUCCUUUCAAUUUCAUAGAAAAUGGUCAAAUUUAGGACUUUCUGCGGUGCUUCCAAGUGUGAACUUAGCAAAUGAUUUAGUAAAGGUUUCACCUAGACCAUAACCUUGCAGAGUGGUUAAUUUCAGGCUCUUUAAAAUCAUGCAUAAUUUUAUGAUGGUCCUAGUAGUCAUUCAUUAAACCUUUUACAUUUUAAAAG